rnacentral:rRNA from 2 species
UGCCAGCAGCCGCGGUAAUACUAGUUGGCAAGCGUUAUCCGGAUUUAUUGGGCGUAAAGCGAGCGCAGGCGGUUUUUUAAGUCUGAUGUGAAAGCCCUCGGCUUAACCGAGGAAGUGCAUCGGAAACUGGGAAACUUGAGUGCAGAAGAGGACAGUGGAACUCCAUGUGUAGCGGUGAAAUGCGUAGAUAUAUGGAAGAACACCAGUGGCGAAGGCGGCUGUCUGGUCUGUAACUGACGCUGAGGCUCGAAAGCAUGGGUAGCGAGCAGGAUUAGAUACCCUGGUAGUCCAUGCCGUAAACGAUGAAUGCUAGGUGUUGGAGGGUUUCCGCCCUUCAUUGCCGCAGCUAACGCAUUAAGCAUUCCGCCUGGGGAGUACGACCGCAAGGUUGAAACUCAAAGGAAUUGACGGGGGCCCGCACAAGCGGUGGAGCAUGUGGUUUAAUUCGAAGCAACGCGAAGAACCUUACCAGGUCUUGACAUCUUUUGAUC